GCCCGUGACUCAGUGGAAGAGUAUCAGACUGUAAACGUGACGGUCGUGGAUUCGAUCCCCAAUCGGAGAA
rnacentral:tRNA from 1 species